GUGGGGAAUUUUGGACAAUGGGGGAAACCCUGAUCCAGCCAUCCCGCGUGUAUGAUGAAGGCCUUCGGGUUGUAAAGUACUUUUGGCAGAGAAGAAAAGGUAUCCCCUAAUACGGGAUACUGCUGACGGUAUCUGCAGAAUAAGCACCGGCUAACUACGUGCCAGCAGCCGCGGUAAUACGUAGGGUGCAAGCGUUAAUCGGAAUUACUGGGCGUAAAGCGUGUGUAGGCGGUUCGGAAAGAAAGAUGUGAAAUCCCAGGGCUCAACCUUGGAACUGCAUUUUUAACUGCCGAGCUAGAGUAUGUCAGAGGGGGGUAGAAUUCCACGUGUAGCAGUGAAAUGCGUAGAUAUGUGGAGGAAUACCGAUGGCGAAGGCAGCCCCCUGGGAUAAUACUGACGCUCAGACACGAAAGCGUGGGGAGCAAACAGGAUUAGAAACCCGUGUAGUCC
rnacentral:rRNA from 1 species